rnacentral:lncRNA from 1 species
GGUUUUACAAAAGGGUAAGGAAAGAAAUUUAGUCCCCAAUUAAUAUAUCACAUAAUAGCGGCACAUGGUGAUGGGUUUCAUCAGUUCAUAACACUGAAAGUUUGACCUACAUUGUGAGAUGGAAUUGAUUCUGCCUUUUAGUAUAUGCAGUUGAUGUUAUUUUUUAAUCUAUUAACGUUACCUGGACACAACUCCAAAUACAUAAUCCUUUUGCCAACAUACUGAAUUAUAUUUUAUCAUAUUCCUUAU